GUGGGUAUAGCUAAGUGGUAGAGCCCAUGCUUAGCAUGUACAAGGUCCUAGGUUCAAUCCCCAAUACCUACA
rnacentral:tRNA from 1 species